rnacentral:lncRNA from 1 species
GAAUAAUGUAUACAACUGACUCUCAGGAAUAAGUUAAUGAGACAGCAAACAGGGCAAAACACCGAACAAUCCAUUGAUCUAAGUAAAUGAUAUAUGAGAAUUAUUUGUACUAUUAUUUUAACUUUUCUAAAGUUUGUAAAAAUUGUAUCAAAAUUAAAAUUUAUCAAAAAAUUUAAAAGGAUGUCCCAAGAAUAGAAGACCUAAUGAACCUAAGAUUUUCUAAUAGAUAUGAAACCCUGUUGCAUCUUCAAAGUGAUUGUAUUAUAAUUGAGCAGGAUGAAACAGAUUGGGGACUAUAGGGAGUUUGAUACAGACAGACAAACCCCAACUAGCUCCAGAGAAGUGAUGUGGAUCAUCCACGGGCAGCAAGAGGUGACCCAAAUCAAUUAUUCAGCGUUCAAUUCAGUAAAUAUUUAUUUAAAGCCUAUUAAAUCAUAGUACCAUUCUGGAAACUGGGGGUAAAGCAAGUAAUCAAAGUAUCUAACUUUAUACAGCUUACAUUUCAGUUAAGGGAGUCAGGAAUAGACUAAUAUACAAGACAUUAGUUGGUGAUAAAUGCUUUAGAGAAAAAUAAGUCCAAGUAAAGCUGAUAGGGAGUGCCAGGAAGUAGCAAAGAACUGGUUCAUUUAUGAUAGGAAAGUUUUAGUAAUAAGGUCAUAUUUUUAGAGUCCUGUGUUAGUCAGCUUUUCAAUGCUGUUACCAAAACACCUGACGCAAGCAACUUACAGAAGGAAUGAUUUAUUUUGGCUCACAGUUUCGGAGGUUUUAGCCAAUGGUCAGCUGGCUCCAUCACUUUGGGUCUACAUUAAGGUAGAAGGGCAUGGUAAAGGAAAAGUGCUCAUCUCAUUGCAACUGGAAAG